rnacentral:lncRNA from 1 species
GGAAAAUUAACAUCCUGGUGUUUUCCUUGCACAAAGUCCCCCUGCCAAGGUUUUGCUGUGGAGGAAGGAGUGAAUUGAUUAAAUCGAGAAAAUUUUGAUAGAGCAUCCAAUCCUUCACUCUUCUUCCUGAUUCUGGAGGAAACUCCUGGGCUUUAAUCUGGAUUUCCAAAUAAAAUUUGUUGUAAAUAAAAAAAAUUCUGAAAUAAAAAGAAGGGAAAUACAAAUUCCGAAGCAGAGAAUUUUGAAAUAAAAAUUCUGAAAUAAAACUUCUGAAAUAAAAACUCUGAGCUGAAAAUUCUGAAAUACAAAUUCAGAAAUGCAAACCCUGCAAUAAAAAAAACCCCGAGACACAAAUCUUGAAAGAAAAAAGAAAUCAGAGAUACAAAUUCUGAAACCCUGAAAUGAAAAAUCUGAAAUGCAAAUUCUGGAAUACAGGAUUUUUUUUCCAGGACAAUGAGCCCUGGAAUUCCUUUUCCAUGGAAUUUUAACUUUUAGCUGGAAUAUAUUUAUCAGGUGAUCUCUUUUCUCUUAGAAAAAUUCCUUUAUUUCCUAUAAAUUCAAUUUCAAAUCGCUCUCAGGUGUUUCCUAGGCAGCCAGAGAUGGAUUUCUUUUGGAAAAGCUGAGAAUUCCAGGAGAAUUCCCGGAGUGGCCAGCAGGGAGAGGCCUUGCCCAUGGAAUCUGUCGGGCAGGGAAGCUCCCAGCUUGUCCCGGGAUUCCUGAAUCAACUGGGGAAGGACAAAGCUUUCCAAGAGAUUUUUCAUUCCCAAUCCCUUUGGAAUUCUAUGAUUCCUGGGAAAAGCUACUUUGGUUUAUUGGAGCUGGGGUAGAGUCGCCUUGGCAACCACAUUCCAGGAGAGAAUUCCACAUCUCAUUCCAGGAGAAUUCCACAUCUCAUUCCUGAAGAAAAUUCCCCAUCUCAUUCCAGGAGAGAAUUCCCCAUUUCAUUCCAGGAGAAUUCCCCAUCUCAUUCCAGGAGAGAAUUCCACGUCUCAUUCCAGGAGAAUUCCACAUCUCAUUCCAGAAGAGAAUUCCCCAUCUCAUUACAGAACAGAAUUCCACAUCUCAUUCCAGGAGAAUUCCCCAUCUCAUUCCAGGAGAGAAUUCCCCAUCUCAUUCCAGGAGAAUUCCCCAUCUCAUUCCAGGAGAGAAUUCCACGUCUCAUUCCAGGACAAUCUGGAUCCUCUGAUGCAGAUCCUGGAGUUGGAAUUCCAGACAUUCGCAGGCUGGAAUAAAUUCCAAAAUUAAUUACACCAAGGAUACAAAAAAAAGUUUGGACAACAGCUAGAAUUGCUUCUGUGUUAUUGUGCAUUAAAAUUUCAUAUAUUUUAACGUUGUUUAGAAUUUAAACUAAAUAAUUGCAGGAGGAAUUAUUGGGGGAUGUUUUGUCUUCACUUUCCCUGCAGUAUUUUUCCCUGGAAAAUCAAACCUCCAGCCCUGUGUGGAAUGGCAUUUGUCUCAAUUUCUUUAUAUAUAAAUAUAGAUAUAAAUAUAAAUAUAGAUAUAGAUAUAAAUAUAGAUAUAUAUAAAUAAAGAUAAAUAUAGAUAUAUGUAUAAAUAUAAA